ACAGGCUCUUACGAAAGAUCUUCCUUGGAAGCUCAAAGAUGCAAGAUUAGCUGCGAUUAUUCAAGCAUCAACUGGAUCAGCAUGACUCUGAUCAGUGGGAGCAGAGGUCAGGAACAGCUUUCGGGAAUUUUGACAUGGCCAGAGAUAGGUUUAUAACAUCUGAGGGAACCAAAAUUGAAGCUGACGUUGAUGAAGAUGGAGAAUCAGCAUUCAUGAGUUUAGCAGCUUUCUCGAAAAAUCAUUCUGGUUACCAGCUUUCCGAAAAAUGUAAAUCACUUUUUUUUAUAAGUGAAUUAUCCUAAAAAUGAAGCAUUGUUUUGUACAUGUACAAAAGGUUAAAGUUAAUAAAUCAUAUAA